rnacentral:lncRNA from 1 species
GAACAACUACCGCAAACUUGUACAACUACCGUUGCAAGAACCGAGACCGGCAAGUCCGAAGACCCCAAGUACCACGACUACCCUCGAGGACGUUUUCUCCGUCAAGUUCGACUACAACUCGUGUACGACUACCGUCGCCGUGAACAACUACUUCCACUACAUCGCGAGAACGCCUACUUCCCUCUACGAAACGCGAACCGUCCCAUUUGAACCCUUCGAAGGUAUAACCCGAGACGACCGUGAUGAGAUGCCCUUGCAUGUAUGAGAUGUACCUUAUGUUUGCACCAUGUCCGAGUUGCCUUUGCGCGUUCCUCGUUUGCCAUGCCACUAACCCGUGGGAACCCGGUAGUCAGGAGCACCCCACCAUCUCUAGCAUGUUGCGCACAUCCACACGCUCCCUUUUGCACCGGUAUCUCGGUGAGCUAUCGGAACCGAUAUGUUGCCGUGGCAUCAUUUUCGGAUAUGUUGCCGUGGCACCAUUUCCGUUUCGCCGCCGUGGGACCCUUUUCGUUUCGCCGCCGUGGCACCCUUUUUUGUUCUGCCACGGUGACAAAUGCUUCAUAACAUGCUCUUGUCAACAUUUUCAUAAAAAUUGCAUAAAACUUGCAUAUGUCAUCCGCAUCAUGAUAAUAACAAUUAAAAUGUUUAAACUUGUUGUUGCAUUAAAUUGCUAAAUGCAUGUGGGGAUUUACCGGAAUUGUUGUUUGUUGUUCCGGCCUCACUUAUACUUGCCUAGAUAGGUAGUUUUCAUAUGCCUCACCUCUUGCCAUGCUUAACAACAUUUAAUAUUGUUGGGUACAUAACCGAGAGAGAACUAAAUAAUUGAUGUGGUGUUCCAUCAAUAUGCAACUCGUUGCAUAUUGAGCUCCACUUAACUUGUAGUGUUGUUUGUGCAUAUUGCCAUGCCAUGCCUCUUUAAACCGGACAUGCAUCAUACUUGUUUGUGCAUCAUGACAUGUUUAUGCUUGUGUGUUUACCAUAUUGUUUGCUUCUUUCCGGUUUGCUUCUCUCGUUAGCUUCGGUUUCAUUCCGGAGUUGUGAGGUUUCGCUCGACUACGCCCGUUCGUCUUCUUCAUGGAAUCGUUCUUCUUCCUUGCGGGAUUUCAGGCAAGAUGAUCAUACCCUCGAAAUCACUACUAUCUUUGCUAUGCUAGUUUGCUCUCUCUUUUGCUAUGACAAUUCUACGAUGCCUACCAUUUGCUUGUCAGCCUCCCAAAUUGCCAUGUCAAACCUCUAACCUUUGACACUAUUCCUAGCAAACCGUUGUUUGGCUAUGUUACCGCUUUGCUCAGCCCCUCUUAUAGCGUUGUUAGUUGCAGGUGAAGAUGAAGUUUGUUCCUUGUUGGAACAUGGAGAUGCUGUUCCUUGUUGGAACAUGUUUACUUGUUGGGAUAUCACAAUAUCUCUUAUAUUUUUAAUGCAUCUAUAUAUUUGGUAAAGGGUGGAAGGCUCGGCCUUAUGCCUGGUGUUUUGUUCCACUCUUGCCGCCCUAGUUUCCGUCAUACCGGUGUUAUGUUCCCGGAUUUUGCGUUCCUUACGCGGUCGGGUGAUUUAUGGGACCCCCCUGACAGUUCGCUUUGAAUAAAACUUGUCCAGCAAGGCCCAACAUUGCCUUUUACCAUUUGCCUCACCUAGCCCUUUUUCCCUUGGGUUUCCGGAGCCCAAGGGUCAUCUUUAUUUACCCCCCCGGGCCAGUGCUCGUUGGGAGUGUUGGUCCAAACCGUCAGCCGCCGGUGGCCACCAGGGGCAACUCUGGGAUGGCCUACCAGAAGUUUGGACAAUCCGGUGUGCCCUGAGAACGAGAUAUGUGCAGCUCCUAUCAGGAUUUGUCGGCACAUUCGGGCGGCUUUGCUGGUCUUGUUUUACCAUUGUCGAAAUGUCUUGAUGUACCGGGAUACCGAGUCUGAUCGGAGUGUCUCGGGUGAAGGUCUAUUCCUUCGUUGAUCGCGAGAGCUUGUCAUGGGCUAAGUUGGGACACCCCUGCAGGGUAUAAACUUUCGAGAGCCGUGCCCGCGGUUAUGUGGCAGAUGGGAAUUUGUUAAUGUCCGGUUGUAGAAAACCCGAAGUUGACCUUAAUUAAAAUACAUCAACCGUGUGUGUAACCGUGAUGGUCUCUUUCCGGCGGAGUCCGGGAAGUGAACACGGUGUUGGAGUUAUGCUUGACGUAGGUUGCUAUAGGAUCACUUCUUGAUCAUACUUUUAUCGACCGUGCUUUGCCUUCUCUUCUCGCUCUCAUUUGCGUAUGUUAGCCACCAUAUAUGCUAGUCGCUUGCUGCAGCUCCACCUCAUGCCUUUACCUUACCCAUAAGCUUAAAUAGUCUUGAUCUCGCGGAUGUGAGAUUGCUGAGUCCUCGUGACUCACCAGAUACUUCCAAAACCAGUUUGCAGGUGCCUAUGUUACCGAGCAGGAGACGCAACCAAGCUCAAUGAGGAGCUCGAUGAAGAUCUUGCCCUUGGUAUUGUUUCGUUCUAGUUGAUCAGUUGUGGAGCCCAGUUGGGGUUGAUCGGGGACCUUUGUCGCAUUUGGGGUUCUUCUUUUAUUUUGGUUCCGUAGUCGGACCUUGAUUGUAUCUGGAUGAUGUAAUGCUUUAUUCAUGUAUUUGUGUGAAGUGGCGAUUGUAAGCCAACUAUGUAUCUUUUUCCCUUAUGUAUUACAUGGGUUGUGUGAAGAUUACCUCACUUGCGACAUCGCUUUCAAUGCGGUUAUGCCUCUAAGUCGUGCUUCGACACGUGGGAGAUAUAGCCGCAUCGAGGGCGUUACAC